GUGGAUUAGAUACCCUAGUAGUCCUAGCUGUAAACAAUGGAUACUAGGCGGUGCUUUUGUACUGUCGUAGCUAACGCGUUAAGUAUCCCGCCUGGGGAGUACGCUUGCAAAAGUGAAACUCAAAGGAAUUGACGGGGACCCGCACAAGCGGUGGAGCAUGCGGUUUAAUUCGUUGGUACACGAAGAACCUUACCAGGGUUUGACAUGUUAGGAAAUUUUAUGAAAGUAAAAUGUGCCUUUAUGGAACCUAAACACAGGUGGUGCAUGGCCGUCGUCAACU
rnacentral:rRNA from 1 species